AUUGAACGCUGGCGGCAGGCCUAACACAUGCAAGUCGAGCGGAUGAAGGGAGCUUGCUCCUGGAUUCAGCGGCGGACGGGUGAGUAAUGCCUAGGAAUCUGCCUGGUAGUGGGGGAUAACGUCCGGAAACGGGCGCUAAUACCGCAUACGUCCUGAGGGAGAAAGUGGGGGAUCUUCGGAUCUCACGCUAUCAGAUGAGCCUAGGUCGGAUUAGCUAGUUGGUGGGGUAAAGGCCUACCAAGGCGACGAUCCGUAACUGGUCUGAGAGGAUGAUCAGUCACACUGGAACUGAGACACGGUCCAGACUCCUACGGGAGGCAGCAGUGGGGAAUAUUGGACAAUGGGCGAAAGCCUGAUCCAGCCAUGCCGCGUGUGUGAAGAAGGUCUUCGGAUUGUAAAGCACUUUAAGUUGGGAGGAAGAGCAGUAGGUUAAUACCUUGCUGUUUUGACGUUACCAACAGAAUAAGCACCGGCUAACUUCGUG
rnacentral:rRNA from 1 species